rnacentral:rRNA from 1 species
AUCGAACGCUGGCGGCAGGCCUAACACAUGCAAGUCGAGCGGAUGAAGGGAGCUUGCUCCUGGAUUCAGCGGCGGACGGGUGAGUAAUGCCUAGGAAUCUGCCUGGUAGUGGGGGAUAACGUCCGGAAACGGGCGCUUAUACCGCAUACGUCCUGAGGGAGAAAGUGGGGGAUCUUCGGACCUCACGCUAUCUGAUGAGCUUAGGUCGGAUUAGCUAGUUGGUGGGGUAAAGGCCUACCAAGGCGACGAUCCGUAACUGGUCUGAGAGGAUGAUCAGUCACACUGGAACUGAAACACGGUCCAGACUCCUACGGGAGGCAGCGGUGGGGAACAUUGGACAAUGGGCGAAAGCCUGCUCCAGCCAGGCCGCGUGUGUGAAGAAGGUCUUCGGAGUGUAAAGCACUUUAAGUUGGGAGGAGGGGCAGUAAGUUAAUACCUUGCUGUUGUGACGUUACCAACAGAAUAAGCACCGGCUAACUUCGUG